rnacentral:rRNA from 1 species
UACGUAGGGUGCAAGCGUUGUCCGGAAUUAUUGGGCGUAAAGAGCUCGUAGGCGGUCUGUCACGUCGGCUGUGAAAUCCCGAGGCUCAACCUCGGGUCUGCAGUCGAUACGGGCAAACUAGAGUAUUGCAGGGGAGACUGGAAUUCCUGGUGUAGCGGUGAAAUGCGCAGAUACAGGAGGAACACCGGUGGCGAAGGCGGGUCUCUGGGCCGAUACUGACGCUGAGGAGCGAAAGCGUGGGGGAGCGAACAGG